UCACGUGACACAUCAUUUAUAUUUUUUUAAAACAAUAUUGACGAAUUAAUGUUGCGAUAUUCAGUUUAAUAACAUAGCAAUCGACUUGGCUGCCUCAUCAAAUUAAAGUUGCGAUAUUCAGUUUAUUUUCGCGCCCCUCCUUCGAGGCCCUGACUGCCUCAUCCAUGUAGUCUAAUUCAUAUUUUCAAUGAAUGAAGCAGGUAGCGUGCUACCUUUUCUCAAAAAAAAAAAAAAAAACAUAGCGAUCGACUUGAUGUUAAGAUACUUAAUUUAAUGAUAUAACGAUCGGCUUGAAGUUGAGAUGUUCAGCUUAAUGACAUGACGAUCAACUCGAUUUGAAUCGAUUUGAUCAGAUUAAUAAUUUAGCGGUUGAUUGAUUUGAACUCGAGCUGCUCAGUUUAGUAACUUUUAGUAACUUAACGAUUGAUGGCUUUAAACAUUAAUUUUUUUUUAAAUAAGCUUGAAAUUUAAUCUUUAAAAUUUUAAACUUUUAGAAUAAAUAAUUAUUUUUUAUUAUUUAUUAUUUAUAUGUAUAAAUAU
rnacentral:lncRNA from 1 species